rnacentral:lncRNA from 1 species
CCUGGUUCCGGUGCUGGGCGCCACAGCGCACAGUGUGAUAGUGAUGAAGCUGAGGAUGAUGAUGAUGAUGAUGAAGAUGAGCAGCUGAUGGUUCCCAGUGUUCCCAGUGCAGCAGGAGGAACCAGGUGGAGGAUUGAUGGAGAUGGACAGAGAACAGGGUCACACACUGAUGUACGCCUGGAAACAAGAGCUGCACUAACAGGUGAUCCACUUGGUUACAGGAGCGUGUGAGGAGAGACAGAUUAAAGGCUCCACACAUCACACGGCUUCACUGACGGCCAAUCAGGACAG